ensembl:lncRNA
GGGCCUGGAGCCUGGGGCUCGCUCGGGCCACUCCGGGGGUGGGGUGCCCUCGGCCUCUCGGCCUGGGGCUCGGUCACUCUGGCACUCUUGGGGGUAACGAGUGCCACUCAUGGGGGACUCGUUGAGCGAUGUGGUCCUUUUGUGGAAUGGAUAGAUCUAAAGAUAAAAGACAAGUUUAAAAUGCCGGUGACUCAGCCGGGGUGUUGUCAAAUAAAUUGGGACGACACCUCUUUGGUCCCAGCAGAUGCUACGUGCUUCGUUAUGGCGAGCUCCGGUGAAGCUCUUCCUGUGCUGUGACUAAUUAUGACCCAGACUCAGAGUGUCUCCUCAGCUCCGGCCAGGAUAAACUCUAACCUCUGUGACAUCACGAUCUGGUGACAGAAGUGAAGCCUGGGAGAUAUUCAACCCACCUAAAAAGGUUGAUUUGUGGUCCACUACUCUCAGGCUUGAAAUGGGAUGUUCUUCUGUAAUAACCUGCCCACCACAAGAUGACGCAG